UCUUUUGCACAAGUAAAAUAAUGAUAAUAAAGUUAAUAAAAAUAAUAAUAAUAAUAAUAAUAAUAAUAAUAAUAAUAAUAAUAAUAAUAAUAAUAGUUUUGAACACAAUAGGCCAUUAGCUAUUUAUUGAUAAAUUUGGAGAAAGGGCAUAAUUUAUCUAUCAUGCCACAUAUAUGGUUCUUGAUUCCGCGUAUGGGAAUGGUUCUCCGAGUAUUGAGAUUGUAAUUUGGUCCAUUUAUGUCUUCGAGAUUUAGUGUCUUCGAGAUUUCAGGAUUUAAAAUUGAAGAUUUUCUAACCGAUAUUCUUGACUUAUAUUUAGGUACAAAGUUAAAAUCAGCAAGCCCUUGUGGAACAAGUAUAAGAGCAGCAAAGAACAACAUUGGUAACAAAAGGGAAACCAUUUUUGUCACUCACUAUAAUUAUAUUAAUCUGACUUAAAAAAUUAAUAUCUGUAGCUGCAAGCAAAAUAUAUCCAAUUUAAUCAUGAAAACAAAUAAUUUAUUAUUUAAAUUUACCACUUUAAUGAUU
rnacentral:lncRNA from 1 species